GGAUCGAUAGCUCAGUGGUAGAGGUAAGCACAAGUCCAAGACAUUUUCCCGAAACAUUAAAUCACUAACAAAGUCAAUAGCGAGAGAUUGCAGAUCUCUAGGUCACGCGUUCGAUCCGCGUUCGGUCCU